rnacentral:lncRNA from 1 species
UUCAUUGUGUGGCUGGCAAGACCUAGAACCUAGAAUCUCUUUGGGUUCCAGUAUUCUCUUUGCGGAAUGGGGAUGAUAACAUCCAAAGUCCCGCCAGCCUCACUGAGAGCCUGGGAAGAUCAAAACACGCUGAAUCACAGUCUACCCGUUCGAGCUGGUAGUUAGCACAUGUUUGCGACGAUCAGGCGCCACGCUAAGUGGCUUACGUGCGCUAUCUCGUCUGACCAUCAUAAGGGCGUCAGAGGGUGCUUUACCGUGGACGGACCUCUAUUUAGGAAAACUUGGCAUCUAAAAGCCCACAGGGACAAAAUCGAUAUAUUAAGGCAACCAGUCAAUCACGGUUUGCCGAGGACUGAUAGGAUUUUAACACCAAAAGGCCCAAGGCCCGGAAACCCUUCAGUGCUAAGCACACCAGACCUCUAACAAACCUACCUCAUUAACGCCUGUCGCUCUGUCAGAGCAUUCAGUCCCCAACGUUUACAGAGAACCUCGUCCUCUUCCGCCCGCCCACUCUCCACAUCCUCUUCAGGCGCCUGCCCACAAGGAGCGCCCGGUCUGUGGAGGCCAUAGAGAGGUCAGCACUCGUAACACGGUGAAAUAAACCUUUAACUAGUGGAUGUGCA